GGCAGCAGUAAGGAAUAUUGGUCAAUGGACGCAAGUCUGAACCAGCCAUGCCGCGUGAAGGAUGAAGGUCCUCUGGAUUGUAAACUUCUUUUAUCUGGGACGAAACCCCCGGUUUUUACUGGGAUUGACGGUACCAGAGGAAUAAGCACCGGCUAACUCCGUGCCAGCAGCCGCGGUAAUACGGAGGGUGCAAGCGUUAUCCGGAUUCACUGGGUUUAAAGGGUGCGUAGGUGGGAAUGUAAGUCAGUGGUGAAAUCUCCGUGCUUAACAUGGAAACUGCCAUUGAUACUAUGUUUCUUAAAUCUUCUGGAGGUUAGCGGAAUAUGUCAUGUAGCGGUGAAAUGCUUAGAUAUGACAUAGAACACCAAUUGCGAAGGCAGCUAGCUACAGGGGUAUUGACACUGAGGCACGAAAGCGUGGGGAUCAAACAGGAUUAGAUACCCUGGUAGUCCACGCCCUAAACGAUGGAUACUCGACAUUUGCGAUACACAGUAAGUGUCUGAGCGAAAGCAUUAAGUAUCCCACCUGGGAAGUACGACCGCAAGGUUGAAACUCAAAGGAAU
rnacentral:rRNA from 1 species